GACGAACGCUGGCGGCGUGCUUAACACAUGCAAGUCGAACGCUGAAGCUUGGUGCUUGCACUGGGUGGAUGAGUGGCGAACGGGUGAGUAAUACGUGUGUAACCUGCCCUUGACUCUGGGAUAAUCCUGGGAAACUGGGUCUAAUACUGGAUACGACAUUCCACUGCAUGGUGGUGUGUGGAGAGGGGUUUACUGGUUUUGGAUGGGCUCACGGCCUAUCAGCUUGUUGGUGGGGUAAUGGCCUACCAAGGCGACGACGGGUAGCCGGCCUGAGAGGGUGACCGGCCACACUGGGACUGAGACACGGCCCAGACUCCUACGGGAGGCAGCAGUGGGGAAUAUUGCACAAUGGGCGGAAGCCUGAUGCAGCGACGCCGCGUGAGGGAUGACGGCCUUCGGGUUGUAAACCUCUUUCAGCACGGAAGAAGCGAGAGUGACGGUACGUGCAGAAGAAGCGCCGGCUAACUACGUG
rnacentral:rRNA from 1 species